UACUUGGUGUGAAUUGCAGA
rnacentral:siRNA from 1 species